GACGAACGCUGGCGGCGCGCUUAACACAUGCAAGUCGAACGGAAAGGCCUGCUUUCCCUUGUGGAUUGCGGGUACUCGAGUGGCGAACGGGUGAGUAACACGAGAGUGAUCUGCCCCCAACUUGGGUAUAAGCCUGGGAAACUGGGUCUAAUUCCCGAUAGGACUGCAGGGUGGUGCCUGUGGUGGAAAACGAUUUUCUAGUGGUUGGGGAUGAGCUCGCGGCCUAUCAGCUUGUUGGUGGGGUAAUGGCCUACCAAGGCGGCGACGGGUAGCCGGCCUGAGAGGGUGGACGGCCACAUUGGGACUGAGAUACGGCCCAGACUCCUACGGGAGGCAGCAGUGGGGAAUAUUGCACAAUGGGCGGAAGCCUGAUGCAGCGACGCCGCGUGGGGGAUGACGGCCUUCGGGUUGUAAACUCCUUUCGACCGCGAGGAAGCCACCUGGUUGGAAGGGUGGUGACGGUAGUGGUAGAAGAAGCACCGGCUAACUACGUG
rnacentral:rRNA from 1 species